CAAUUAGAGAAUGCGCCACUUGACAGAGUUGAAAGGUGUUGCGCGCAGAUGUUUCAUAUUCAAGGCUGGAUGGUGAAAAUUCGAGUUCUGAUUUAUAAUCUUUGACCUUGCAAAUCUGAAUGGGAUACUGUCGGCACAAAAGAAGCAGGAAGUACCGUGCAACGGGAGUGACACGGAUCGGCGCUGGAUACAGGGAACUCCAGAGGGUUAAUAGCUCGUUUAGAGAACCUUUUCAUGAUAUGCUAAUUUUUUGAGAUAGGAAUUUUGGGUUUUCAUGAGCUGUAUGCCAAAAUCAUCAGUAUUAAAACAAUAAAAGACCUGAAAUAUUUCAGUUGGUGUGCAAUGAAUCUAAAAUAUAUGAAAGUUUAAUUUUUAUCAUUACAUUAUGGAAAAUAAUGAACUUUUUCACAAUAUGCUAAUUUUUUGAGAAGGACCUGUAUAUAACA
ensembl:lncRNA